UAGCUACCAUAUGUACGUCCAUACACACAUAUGCCCUAAACGCAUACAAAAUUACACCCUUAUUAGAGGGUUGGUUCUCAAUUGUAGAAUGCAAGGACCAAGGGCAGAGUUUGUAACGUCGUUGAAGUCUUUCGAAUUUUGUAUGCUUUAGAAAAAUUUCAUACAACCACGAUUCUUGUACGCAACAUAGUUUUCAAGCAAAAGUAAGCUAAAUAAAUACUGCUUGUGUCGUAAACUUUAUAUUAGAAGCUAUCGAUUUUUCCCACUUUUACAUACAAUUGCGUUCAUAUGGGCAUAAAAAAUUUCAAGAAGAGCAUAAACCACCACCAUCGAAAAAUAUGAGUUAAACCGUUCACCUUAAAAAAAAUGAUUAGUAGAUAAAUAUGUUUGUCUUCAAACACCAAGCUUCCAAAAAUUAUACACAGCGUCCAUAACUUACCACCAGUUAUUCGCCAAGGAAGAGACCUUCUAUUGAUACAACCAUUGAAAAAACGGUGGUCUCCCGCAGACGCACCACGGCAGCGACGCGUACUCCGCCCCUUAAUUUUUACAAUUCACAUGUAUGUACGAGCGGGAAAAUAGCUUACACAUUUGAUGUAUGUAGGUACUUAAGCAACUUUACUACCAUUAAACAUUACGAAAUCCAUUAACUAAA